UACGUAGGGGGCAAGCGUUGUCCGGAUUUAUUGGGCGUAAAGAGCGUGUAGGCGGCCAGGUAGGUCUGCUGUGAAAACUCGAGGCUUAACCUCGAGAUGUCGGCGGAAACCAUCUGGCUAGAGUCCGGAAGAGGAGAAUGGAAUUCCCGGUGUAGCGGUGAAAUGCGCAGAUAUCGGGAAGAACACCCGUGGCGAAGGCGGUUCUCUGGGACGGUACUGACGCUGAGACGCGAAGGCGUGGGGAGCGAACAGG
rnacentral:rRNA from 1 species